UAGGUAGAUAGAGGUUGCGUAAUUUAUCAGUAGUAUAUUCGAUGCGGCAGGCGCAAAGGAGAAUAUAGGAAAGGGAAUUACGCCGAAAGGAUCGGAAUCCUGCGUUUUGGUUCUUGGGCAUGGAGUGAAUAAUUCCCUGACUGUCAUCUGAAUAUACAUAUGGAUGGGGCGCUAUCGGAUCG
rnacentral:ncRNA from 2 species